rnacentral:rRNA from 1 species
GAUGAACGCUAGCUACAGGCUUAACACAUGCAAGUCGAGGGGUAACGAGAGGGAAGCUUGCUUUCCUUGUCGACGACCGGCGCACGGGUGAGUAACGCGUAUCCAACCUGCCCCCAACUAGGGAAUAACCUUGCGAAAGUAAGACUAAUACCCUAUAAUUUCCUCAGAUGACAUCUGACGAGGAAUAAAGAUUUAUCGGUUGUGGAUGGGGAUGCGUCUGAUUAGCUUGUUGGCGGGGUAACGGCCCAGCAAGGGAAAGAUCAGUAGGGGUGCUGAGAGGAAGGUCCCCGAAAUGGGAACUGAGACACGGUCCAAACUCCUACGGGAGGCAGCAGUGAGGAAUAUUGGUCAAUGGGCGGAAGCCUGAACCAGCCAAGUAGCGUGCAGGAUGACGGCCCUAUGGGUUGUAAACUGCUUUUAUACAGGAAUAAAGUUAGCCACGUGUGGUUAUUUGUAGGUACUGUAUGAAUAAGGACCGGCUAAUUCCGUGCCAGCCGCCGCCGUAA